rnacentral:rRNA from 2 species
GAUUCCUUUAGUAAUGGCGAAUGAACCAGGAAUAGCUCAAAUUUAAAAUCAUUUUUAUAAAUGAAUUGUAGUUUAAAAAUAUAAAUUUAUCAAUUAUAAUAUUAUUAAUUUAAUUGGAAAAUUAAAACAUAGAGGGUUAUAUUCCCGUAUAUAUAAUAAUUAUAAUUUAAUAAUUUUAUAUUAAAGAGUCAGAUUGUUUGGGAUUACAGUCUAAAUUAGGAGGUAAAUUUCUUUUAAAGCUAAAUAUUGGCAAGAGACCGAUAGCGAACAAGUACCGUAAGGGAAAGAUGAAAUAGAACCUUGUAAAGGGGUUUAAAAGAAAGUGAAAUCGUUAAGAGGGAAACAUUUAAACCUCGAAACAAAUUUUUAAAGAUUAAUAUAAUUUUAUAUUAAAAUUUAAAAGUUUAAAUUUCAAUAUAUAUUAUUAUUAUUUAAAAAUUAUUAUAAUAACAAAACUUUAAAAUUUUAUUUUAAAAUUAAAAAUUAUAAUUAAUUAAAUAAUUUUGAUAUAAAAAUCAUUUAUUACAUUUUCAUAUUUUGAAGAAAGAAUAAUAAUUUUUAUAAAUUAAUAUUUUUGAUUUAAAAUACAAAUGCUAUGAUAAUUAAUUGAAUAUAGAGAUUUAAAUGACCCGUCUUGAAACACGGACCAAGGAGUCUAACAUAUUGGCGAGUACUAUAAUUUUAAAUUAUAAUGCGCAAUGAAAGUAAAUUCAAGGUAGGAGUUUAUGCACUAUCGACCGAUUUCAUCAGGAUUCUUCCUAGAAAUUUGAGUUAGAGCAAAUAUGUUGGGACCCGAAAGAUGGUGAACUAUGCUUGAAUAGGGUGAAGCCAGAGGAAACUCUGGUGGAAGCUCGUAGCGAUUCUGACGUGCAAAUCGAUCGUAAAAUUUGGGUAUAGGGGCGAAAGAC